rnacentral:rRNA from 1 species
CCUACGGGAGGCAGCAGUGGGGGAUAUUGCACAAUGGGGGAAACCCUGAUGCAGCGACGCCGCGUGGGUGAAGAAGCGCCUCGGCGCGUAAAGCCCUGUCAGCAGGGAAGAAAAUGACGGUCCCUGAAGAAGAAGCCCCGGCUAACUACGUGCCAGCAGCCGCGGUAAUACGUAGGGGGCAAGCGUUAUCCGGAGUUACUGGGUGUAAAGGGGGCGCAGACGGCGAUGCAAGCCAGGAGUGAAAGCCCGGGGCCCAACCCCGGGACUGCUCUUGGAACUGCGUGGCUAGAGUGCAGGAGGGGCAGGCGGAAUUCCUGGUGUAGCGGUGAAAUGCGUAGAUAUCAGGAGGAACACCGGUGGCGAAGGCGGCCUGCUGGACUGCAACUGACGUUGAGGCCCGAAAGCGUGGGGAGCAAACAGGAUUAGAUACCCCAGUAGUC